AGUUAAUUAGCUUAAUAAAAGCAUUUAUUUUGAAAAUAAAAGAAAAGAUUUAAAUCUAUUAACUU
rnacentral:tRNA from 1 species